GAUCCAAUGGCCUACUGGUUAGAGUGUCCGCCUUGGAUGCAGGAGGUCCUGGCUUCGAACACCAACCGGGUCA